rnacentral:rRNA from 1 species
GACGAACGCUGGCGGCGUGCUUAACACAUGCAAGUCGAACGAUGAAGCUGGAGCUUGCUCCGGUGGAUUAGUGUCGAACGGGUGAGUAACACGUGAGAAAUCUGCCCUUCACUCUGGGAUAACUGCGGGAAACUGUAGCUAAUACCGGAUACUUUCCCUGGUGGGCAUCCACUAGGGAAGAAAGAAUUUCGGUGAAGGAUGAUCUCGCGGCCUAUCAGCUAGUUGGUGAGGUAAUGGAUCACCAAGGCGACGACGGGUAGACGGCCUGAGAGGGUGCCAGGCCACACUGGGACUGAGACACGGCCCAGACUCCUACGGGAGGCAGCAGUGGGGAAUAUUGCACAAUGGCCGAAGGCCUGAUGCAGCAACGCCGCGUGAGGGAUGAAGGCCUUCGGGUUGUAAACCUCUUUUAGCAGGGAAGAAGCGAAAGUGACGGUACCUGAAGAAAAAGCACCGGCUAACUACGUGCCAGCCGCCGCCGUAA